rnacentral:rRNA from 1 species
GACGAACGCUGGCGGCGUGCCUAAUACAUGCAAGUAGAACGCUGAAGGAGGAGCUUGCUUCUCUGGAUGAGUUGCGAACGGGUGAGUAACGCGUAGGUAACCUGCCUGGUAGCGGGGGAUAACUAUUGGAAACGAUAGCUAAUACCGCAUAAUAGUAGAUGUUGCAUGACAUUUGCUUAAAAGGUGCAAUUGCAUCACUACCAGAUGGACCUGCGUUGUAUUAGCUAGUUGGUGGGGUAACGGCUCACCAAGGCGACGAUACAUAGCCGACCUGAGAGGGUGAUCGGCCACACUGGGACUGAGACACGGCCCAGACUCCUACGGGAGGCAGCAGUAGGGAAUCUUCGGCAAUGGACGGAAGUCUGACCGAGCAACGCCGCGUGAGUGAAGAAGGGUUUCGGGUCGUAAAGCUCUGUUGUAAGAGAAGAACGAGUGUGAGAGUGGAAAGUUCACACUGUGACGGUAGCUUACCAGAAAGAGACGGCUAACUACGUG